rnacentral:rRNA from 1 species
UACGUAGGGUGCGAGCGUUGUCCGGAAUUAUUGGGCGUAAAGAGCUCGUAGGCGGUGUGUCACGUCGGCCGUGAAAACCUGCAGCUUAACUGUGGGCGUGCGGUCGAUACGGGCAUCACUGGAGUUCGGCAGGGGAGACUGGAAUUCCUGGUGUAGCGGUGAAAUGCGCAGAUAUCAGGAGGAACACCGGUGGCGAAGGCGACUCUUUGGCCUGUAACUGACGCUGGAGACGCGAAAGCGUGGGGAGCGAACAGG